rnacentral:rRNA from 1 species
UACGGAAGGCAGCAGUGGGGAAUAUUGCACAAUGGGCGCAAGCCUGAUGCAGCCAUGCCGCGUGUAUGAAGAAGGCCUUCGGGUUGUAAAGUACUUUCAGCGGGGAGGAAGGCGGUGAAGUUAAUAGCUUCACCGAUUGACGUUACCCGCAGAAGAAGCACCGGCUAACUCCGUGCCAGCAGCCGCGGUAAUACGGAGGGUGCAAGCGUUAAUCGGAAUUACUGGGCGUAAAGCGCACGCAGGCGGUCUGUCAAGUCGGAUGUGAAAUCCCCGGGCUUAACCUGGGAACUGCAUUCGAACUGGCAGGCUAGAGUCUUGUAGAGGGGGUAGAAUUCCAGGUGUAGCGGUGAAAUGCGUAGAGAUCUGGAGGAAUACCGGUGGCGAAGGCGGCCCCUGGGACAAGACUGACGCUCAGGUGCGAAAGCGUGGGGAGCAAACGAGGAUUAGGAUACC